rnacentral:rRNA from 1 species
UACGGAGGGUGCAAGCGUUAUCCGGAUUCACUGGGUUUAAAGGGUGCGUAGGCGGUCCGAUAAGUCAGUGGUGAAAGCCCGCAGCUCAACUGCGGAAUUGCCAUUGAAACUGCCGGACUUGAAUCCGGCUGAAGUGGGCGGAAUAUAUCAUGUAGCGGUGAAAUGCUUAGAUAUGAUGUAGAACACCGAUUGCGAAGGCAGCUCACUAAGCCGACAUUGACGCUGAGGCACGAAAGCGUGGGGAGCGAACAGGAUUAGAUACCCCAGUAGUCC